GAUCAUGGCUCAGGAUGAACGCUAGCUACAGGCUUAACACAUGCAAGUCGAGGGGCAGCAUGGUCUUAGCUUGCUAAGGCCAAUGGCGACCGGCGCACGGGUGAGUAACACGUAUCCAACCUGCCGUCUACUCUUGGACAGCCUUCUGAAAGGAAGAUUAAUACAAGAUGGCAUCAUGGGUUCACAUGUUCACAUGAUUAAAGGUAUUCCGGUAGACGAUGGGGA
rnacentral:rRNA from 1 species